CCAGUUACAUAAAAACCGUACCGCAAACCGACACAGGUGGGCAGGAUGAGAAUUCUAAGGCGCUUGAGAGAACCCGGGAGAAGGAACUCGGCAAAUUAGCACCGUAACUUCGGGAGAAGGUGCGCCCUGGUAGUGUGUAGAGACUUGCUCUCGAAGCACGAUAGGGUUGCAGUGAAAAGGUGGCUGCGACUGUUUAAUAAAAACACAGCACUGUGCAAACACGAAAGUGGACGUAUACGGUGUGACGCCUGCCCGGUGCCGGAAGGUUAAAUGAUGGGGUGCAAGCUCUUGAUUGAAGCCCCGGUAAACGGCGGCCGUAACUAUAACGGUCCUAAGGUAGCGAAAUUCCUUGUCGGGUAAGUUCCGACCCGCACGAAUGGCGUAACGAUGGCCACACUGUCUCCUCUCGGGACUCAGCGAAGUUGAAAUGUUUGUGAAGAUGCAAUCUACCCGCGGCUAGACGGAAAGACCCCAUGAACCUUUACUGUAGCUUUACAUUGGACUUUGACAAGAUUUGUGUAGGAUAGGUGGGAGACUUUGAAGCGGUGUCGCUAGAUAUCGUGGAGUCAACCUUGAAAUACCACCCUGAUGUUGUUGAGGUUCUAACCUAGGUCCAUUAUCUGGAUCGGGGACCGUGUAUGGUGGGCAGUUUGACUGGGGCGGUCUCCUCCCAAAGAGUAACGGAGGAGUGCGAAGGUAACCUAGGUACGGUCGGAAAUCGUACUGAUAGUGCAAUGGCAUAAGGUUGCUUGACUGCGAGACGGACAGGUCGAGCAGGUGCGAAAGCAGGUCAUAGUGAUCCGGUGGUUCUGUAUGGAAGGGCCAUCGCUCAACGGAUAAAAGGUACUCUGGGGAUAACAGGCUGAUUCCUCCCAAGAGUUCAUAUCGACGGGGGAGUUUGGCACCUCGAUGUCGGCUCAUCACAUCCUGGGGCUGUAGCCGGUCCCAAGGGUAUGGCUGUUCGCCAUUUAAAGUGGUACGUGAGCUGGGUUUAAAACGUCGUGAGACAGUUUGGUCCCUAUCUGCCGUGGGCGUUGGAAGUUUGAGGGGGGCUGCUCCUAGUACGAGAGGACCGGAGUGGACGGAUCUCUGGUGGACCGGUUGUCAUGCCAAUGGCAUAGCCGGGUAGCUAAAUCCGGAAGAGAUAAACGCUGAAAGCAUCUAAGCGUGAAACUCGCCUCAAGAUGAGACUUCCCCGCUCUUUAAGCGCGCUAAAGAGUCGUUCGAGACCAGGACGUUGAUAGGUCAGGUGUGGAAGCGCAGUAAUGCGUUAAGCUAACUGAUACUAAUUGCUCGUGAGGCUUGAUCCU
rnacentral:rRNA from 1 species